GACGAACGCUGGCGGCGUGCCUAACACAUGCAAGUCGAACGGACAGGCCCUGCGUUUGCGGCGUGCUCGAGUGGCGAACGGGGGUGUAACACGCGAGUAACCCGUCCUUGACUUUGGGAUAACUCUUGGAAACUGGGGCGAAUACAGGAUAGGAUCUCUUGCUGCACGGUGGGCAUUGGAAAGAUUCGGCGGUGGGGGAUGGACUCGCGGCUUAUGCGCUUGUUGGUGGGGUAGUGGCUGACCAAGGCUGUGACGGGUAGCCGGCCUGGGAGGGGGACCGGCGACAUGGGGACUGAGAUAGGGCCCAGACGCCUACGGGAGGCAGCAGUGGGGAAUAUGGCGCAAUAGGCGGAAGCCUGAUACAACAACGCCGCGUGCGGGAAGACGGCCUACGGGUGAUGAACCAAUUUCGCCUGUGAUGAGGCGGGAGUGACGGUAAUGGGUAAGAAAGCACCGGCUAACUACGUG
rnacentral:rRNA from 1 species